UGAGUACGAGCGGCUACGGCCGCGAAGUGGAUGAUGUCAAGCUUCCAAGAAAAGCCCUAUACCCGUUAAGGCAUGAUGGCCUGUACCCGAAACCGACACAGGUGGGGUGGUAGAGAAUACCGAGGGGCGCGAGGUAACUCUCUCUAAGGAACUCGGCAAAAUGGCCCCGUAACUUCGGGAGAAGGGGUGCCACCGCGAGGUGGUCGCAGUGAAGAGGCCCAGGCGACUGUUUACCAAAAACACAGGUCUCCGCUAAGUCGCAAGACGAUGUAUGGGGGCUGACGCCUGCCCAGUGCCGGAAGGUUAAGGAAGCUGGUCAGCGCAAGCGAAGCUGGCGACUGAAGCCCCGGUGAACGGCGGCCGUAACUAUAACGGUCCUAAGGUAGCGAAAUUCCUUGUCGGGUAAGUUCCGACCCGCACGAAAGGCGUAACGAUCUGGGCGCUGUCUCGGAGAGAGGCUCGGCGAAAUAGAAUUGUCUGUGAAGAUGCGGACUACGUGCACCCGGACAGAAAGACCCUAUGAAGCUUUACUGUAGCUUGGUAUUGUGCUCGGGCUCGGAAUGCGCAGGAUAGGUGGGAGGCUUUGAUCCAUUGCUUGCGGGUGAUGGUGAGCCACUGGUGAGAUACCACUCUUUCCGAGCUAGAGUUCUAACAGCAACCCGUUAUCCGGGUGCUGGACAGUAUCAGGUGGGCAGUUUGACUGGGGCGGUCGCCUCCUAAAAGGUAACGGAGGCGCGCAAAGGUCUGCUCAGGCUGGUUGGAAAUCAGCCGACGAGUGUAAAAGCAGAAGCAGGCUUGACUGUGAGACCUACAAGUCGAACAGGGAGGAAACUCGGCUUUAGUGAUCCGACGGUUCUGCGUGGAAGGGCCGUCGCUCAACGGAUAAAAGUUACUCUAGGAUAACAGGCUGAUCUCCCCCAAGAGUUCACAUCGACGGGGAGGUUUGGCACCUCGAUGUCGGCUCAUCGCAACCUGGGGCUGAAGUCGGUCCCAAGGGUUGGGCUGUUCGCCCAUUAAAGCGGUACGCGAGCUGGGUUCAGAACGUCGUGAGACAGUUCGGUCCAUAUCCGGUGCACGCGCAGGAAUAUUGAGAGGAUUUCUCCCUAGUACGAGAGGACCGGGAGGAACGCACCUCUGGUGUGCCAGUUAUCGUGCCAACGGUAAACGCUGGGUAGCCAUGUGCGGAGUGGAUAACCGCUGAAAGCAUCUAAGUGGGAAGCCCACCUCAAGAUGAGUAUUCCCAUGGCAUAAGCCAGUAAGGUCACGGGAAGAACACCCGUUGAUAGGCUCUACGUGGAAGCGCAGUAAUGUGUGAAGCGGAGGAGUACUAAUAGCCCGAGGGCUUGACC
rnacentral:rRNA from 1 species